UGCGUAGGCGGGAUAUUAAGUCAGUGGUGAAAUCUUACCGCUCAACGGUGAAAUUGCCAUUGAAACUGAUAUUCUUGAGUAUAGUUGAGGUGGGCGGAAUGUGUAGUGUAGCGGUGAAAUGCUUAGAUAUUACACAGAACACCGAUUGCGAAGGCAGCUCACUAAACUAUCACUGACGCUGAUGCACGAAAGCGUGGGGAGCGAACAGGAUUAGAUACCCUGGUAGUCC
rnacentral:rRNA from 1 species